rnacentral:rRNA from 1 species
GCGAACGCUGGCGGCAGGCUUCACACAUGCAAGUCGAGCGGGCACUUUCGGGUGUCCGCGGCGGCCGGGUGAGUAACGCGUGGGAACGUGCCCUCUGGUUCGGAAUAACUCAGGGAAACUUGAGCUAAUACCGGAUACGCCCUUUUGGGGAAAGGCUUGCUGCCGGAGGAUCGGCCCGCGUCUGAUUAGCUAGUUGGUGAGGUAACGGCUCACCAAGGCGACGAUCAGUAGCUGGUCUGAGAGGAUGAUCAGCCACACUGGGACUGAGACACGGCCCAGACUCCUACGGGAGGCAGCAGUGGGGAAUAUUGGACAAUGGGCGCAAGCCUGAUCCAGCCAUGCCGCGUGAGUGAUCAAGGCCCUAGGGUUGUAAAGCUCUUUUAUCCGGGACGAUAAUGACGGUACCGGAGGAAUAAGCCCCGGCUAACUUCGUG